rnacentral:rRNA from 1 species
AUGAACGCUGGCGGCGUGCCUAAUACAUGCAAGUCGAGCGAACAGACGAGGAGCUUGCUCCUCUGACGUUAGCGGCGGACGGGUGAGUAACACGUGGAUAACCUACCUAUAAGACUGGGAUAACUUCGGGAAACCGGAGCUAAUACCGGAUAAUAUAUUGAACCGCAUGGUUGAAUAGUGAAAGACGGUUUUGCUGUCACUUAUAGAUGGAUCCGCGCCGCAUUAGCUAGUUGGUAAGGUAACGGCUUACCAAGGCAACGAUGCGUAGCCGACCUGAGAGGGUGAUCGGCCACACUGGAACUGAGACACGGUCCAGACUCCUACGGGAGGCAGCAGUAGGGAAUCUUCCGCAAUGGGCGAAAGCCUGACGGAGCAACGCCGCGUGAGUGAUGAAGGUCUUCGGAUCGUAAAACUCUGUUAUUAGGGAAGAACAAAUGUGUAAGUAACUAUGCACGUCUUGACGGUACCUAAUCAGAAAGCCACGGCUAACUACGUG